UACGUAGGGGGCAAGCGUUGUCCGGAAUUAUUGGGCGUAAAGAGCUCGUAGGCGGUUCGGCAAGUCGGGUGUGACAACUCCAGGCUCAACCUGGAGAGGUCACUCGAUACUGCUGUGACUAGAGUCCGGUAGGGGAGCAUGGAAUUCCCGGUGUAGCGGUGAAAUGCGCAGAUAUCGGGAGGAACACCAGUGGCGAAGGCGGUGCUCUGGGCCGGAACUGACGCUGAGGAGCGAAAGCGUGGGUAGCAAACAGG
rnacentral:rRNA from 1 species